AAAAAAGCUCUGACGUCUUGUCCACAAGAGAUUCAGAAGAUUCAGAACAUGGUGGACGACAGUAAAAGAAAAUCCUCUGAACUACAGAACUUCCUGCCCAACAAACAGGCUUUGUGAGAAGUCCUCCAAGGAGUUCCUUCCUCCAUGUCCACAAUCUGAACUGCUGUGCCCCAGAGGUUCCAAGCCUCAUUCCUGAUCCCUUACAAGCCCGAUAUGUCAAUCAUCCUAUUUGCGGAUCAAGCCUCGUUGCAAUGCAAAAUCCACUUCCGUUUUUACGUGAAAAUUUAAAUUCCUCUAAUCAAUUCAAUAUAUUUAAUUUUAAGCUAUAAUUUAUCCCAUAGUAUUGUAUGUAUUUUUAUGUAUUUUUACCUAUAGAACCAAUUGCAUUUUAUAUCCUUCAAUGCAUAUAUGUGAAUUUACCCGCCAAAUUGUGGUGGGCUUUUUGAGUGUAUAUAUACCUUGUUUGAACACUUCUUUGUUA